rnacentral:rRNA from 1 species
CUAAGUUUGAUGGCGACCGGCGCACGGGUGAGUAACACGUAUCCAACCUGCCGAUGACUCGGGGAUAGCCUUUCGAAAGAAAGAUUAAUACCCGAUGGCAUAGUUCUUCCGCAUGGUAGAACUAUUAAAGAAUUUCGGUCAUCGAUGGGGAUGCGUUCCAUUAGGUUGUUGGCGGGGUAACGGCCCACCAAGACUACGAUGGAUAGGGGUUCCGAGAGGAAGGUCCCCCACAUUGGAACUGAGACACGGUCCAA